GAUUUCUGGACUGAAGCAUUUAGCCGGCCGCGGUUUCGCGUGUUAGUGCUGGAUGCUCUGUCCAUCCUUCCAAUCGCUAUUGGCUAUUCUUCAUUGAAUGGUCCGUAGUAUUGGAUCUUUUACUUUGAAAAAAUUAGAGUGUUUCAAGCAGGCUUUAUGCUAUGAAUACAUUAGCAUGGAAUAAUAAUUUAGGACUUCGGUUCUAUUUUGUUGGUUUCUAGGACUGAAGUAAUGAUUGAUAGGGAUAGUUGGGGGUGCUAGUAUUCAGCGGCCAGAGGUGAAAUUCUCGGAUUCGCUGAAGACUAACUUAUGCGAAAGCAUU
rnacentral:rRNA from 1 species